AAGAAAUCAACCGAGAUUCCCCCAGUAGCGGCGAGCGAACGGGGAGGAGCCCAGAGCCUGAAUCAGUGUGUGUGUUAGUGGAAGCGUCUGGAAAGGCGCGCGAUACAGGGUGACAGCCCCGUACACAAAAAUGCACAUGCUGUGAGCUCGAUGAGUAGGGCGGGACACGUGGUAUCCUGUCUGAAUAUGGGGGGACCAUCCUCCAAGGCUAAAUACUCCUGACUGACCGAUAGUGAACCAGUACCGUGAGGGAAAGGCGAAAAGAACCCCGGCGAGGGGAGUGAAAAAGAACCUGAAACCGUGUACGUACAAGCAGUGGGAGCACGCUUAGGCGUGUGACUGCGUACCUUUUGUAUAAUGGGUCAGCGACUUAUAUUCUGUAGCAAGGUUAACCGAAUAGGGGAGCCGAAGGGAAACCGAGUCUUAACUGGGCGUUAAGUUGCAGGGUAUAGACCCGAAACCCGGUGAUCUAGCCAUGGGCAGGUUGAAGGUUGGGUAACACUAACUGGAGGACCGAACCGACUAAUGUUGAAAAAUUAGCGGAUGACUUGUGGCUGGGGGUGAAAGGCCAAUCAAACCGGGAGAUAGCUGGUUCUCCCCGAAAGCUAUUUAGGUAGCGCCUCGUGAAUUCAUCUCCGGGGGUAGAGCACUGUUUCGGCAAGGGGGUCAUCCCGACUUACCAACCCGAUGCAAACUGCGAAUACCGGAGAAUGUUAUCACGGGAGACACACGGCGGGUGCUAACGUCCGUCGUGAAGAGGGAAACAACCCAGACCGCCAGCUAAGGUCCCAAAGUCAUGGUUAAGUGGGAAACGAUGUGGGAAGGCCCAGACAGCCAGGAUGUUGGCUUAGAAGCAGCCAUCAUUUAAAGAAAGCGUAAUAGCUCACUGGUCGAGUCGGCCUGCGCGGAAGAUGUAACGGGGCUAAACCAUGCACCGAAGCUGCGGCAGCGACGCUUAUGCGUUGUUGGGUAGGGGAGCGUUCUGUAAGCCUGUGAAGGUGUGCUGUGAGGCAUGCUGGAGGUAUCAGAAGUGCGAAUGCUGACAUAAGUAACGAUAAAGCGGGUGAAAAGCCCGCUCGCCGGAAGACCAAGGGUUCCUGUCCAACGUUAAUCGGGGCAGGGUGAGUCGACCCCUAAGGCGAGGCCGAAAGGCGUAGUCGAUGGGAAACAGGUUAAUAUUCCUGUACUUGGUGUUACUGCGAAGGGGGGACGGAGAAGGCUAUGUUGGCCGGGCGACGGUUGUCCCGGUUUAAGCGUGUAGGCUGGUUUUCCAGGCAAAUCCGGAAAAUCAAGGCUGAGGCGUGAUGACGAGGCACUACGGUGCUGAAGCAACAAAUGCCCUGCUUCCAGGAAAAGCCUCUAAGCAUCAGGUAACAUCAAAUCGUACCCCAAACCAACACAGGUGGUCAGGUAGAGAAUACCAAGGCGCUUGAGAGAACUCGGGUGAAGGAACUAGGCAAAAUGGUGCCGUAACUUCGGGAGAAGGCACGCUGAUAUGUAGGUGAAGCGACUUGCUCGUGGAGCUGAAAUCAGUCGAAGAUACCAGCUGGCUGCAACUGUUUAUUAAAAACACAGCACUGUGCAAACACGAAAGUGGACGUAUACGGUGUGACGCCUGCCCGGUGCCGGAAGGUUAAUUGAUGGGGUCAGCGCAAGCGAAGCUCUUGAUCGAAGCCC
rnacentral:rRNA from 1 species